UAAUUUUGACUUUGCCUUGCCAUUUGGAUUAACAGAAAAAGAUUUCGAUAUGAGUGAAGCCCCUGGAAACACUAUCACGAAAAAGUUUCCUCUAGUUGUGACCAUCAGUCCCCCUUCUUGAUGGUGCCUACUGAGAGUAUCAUCACCUCUACUCUUCAAAGUUCCCUCUUAAAAAGUAAAAUAUGUAGUUAUCAUGUUUGUAAUAAAAUCUCGAACGUAUUUGCAAUAGAAAAUUUGAAAUUAUUCACGGAUUGUCAUGUUGUCUUCAUUUAAAGGAAUUGAAAGUAAUUGGAAUGAAGGUUAUCAACAUGUAUUAUCAUAGUGGCACCUCAAAAUUUGAUAGAUAUGAAGAUGUCUUUUAUAUUUAUAUUUUCAAGUUGGUCACUCAACUUAAUAUUGUUUCAAUUUGGUACAAAAUGUUUGUUUUUUAUUUAUUAAAUUUUGUUUGGUUCAACUAAAAAAAUUGAUUAAAAUUUAGCCAUUAUCUAGGCGCAAUUCUUUGGAAAAUUAUAACAAUAAAGUUAUUUGUACAUCUGGGAUGUGAGAGAAGAAGUCAAAAAUUACGACUUGAAUAGUAAAAUAACGGUCAAAAAAUCAAUUUUUUGGGACAAAAAAUCUCUACCAAACGGGGCCUAUAAUUUCAGCUGUAUGUCUGCCUAAUUAAAUAGUUGAGCAUAUCUUGCCGAAUUCAUUCUGGGAUUAAGAAAAAUGAUUUCUUCUUCCCAUUUGAUAGUUCCUCUUGUUUCCUUCAUUUUGUUCAUCAUUUUCCUCUUCAAAUGGUACAGCAAUCCUUCUUCAAAAGCCUUGAAAAGAUUGCCGCCAUCUCCACCAAAGCUUCCCUUGAUUGGAAAUCUUCAUCAACUAGGCCUAUUCCCACAUCGCUCACUGCACGCACUAUCCAAACGCUAUGGUCCACUGAUGUUGCUUCAUCUGGGCAGUGUGCCAGCACUUAUUGUCUCGUCUGCUGAUGCUGCUUGCGAGAUCAUGAAAAAUCAGGACCUGAUUUUCUCAAACAGGCCAAAAUUGAGCGUUAUUGACAAAGUUAUAUAUGGCUCUAAGGACAUAGCUUUUGCUCCUUAUGGUGAGUACUGGAGGCAGGUGAGAAGUAUAUGUGUGCUUCAUCUUUUGAGUAAUAAGAGGGUUCAAUCCUUUCGUCGCAUACGAGAAGAAGAAAUGUCCCUUAUGAUCGAGAAAAUUAGACAUUCUUCUUCAUCUUCGAUAAACUUGAGCAAUAUACUGGUGACGCUUACUAAUGAUAUUAUAUCUCGAGUGGCCCUGGGGAGGAAAUAUAGUGAUGGUGAAGCAGAAGGAAGCACAAAAUUUGAGUUAAUGUUGAAGGAACUGGCAGAGUUAUUAGGUACUUUUAAUCCAGGGGAUUACAUUCCAAGGCUUAACUGGAUUAAGCGUGUUACAGGUUUCGAAGCAAGAGUUGAGAAAUUGGCUAGACGGUUUGAUGAAUUUUUUGAAGGUGUAGUUGAAGAGCACCGAAAUAGAAAGAAAGGAGAGACGAAUCUGAAGGACAGCAGCCACGAGGCAGAUCUUGUGGACAUAUUGCUCGAAGCUCAGAGAGAAAACAUGGCUGUUUCCCCUAUUGAAAAUGAUACAAUCAAAGCUGUCAUUUUUGUAAGAAUCCCUCAGUCUCUUCCUCACUGCGUUUUCUCAUGUGUCUGUAUUAGAUGUGAAAACUAUUCACUUGCAAUUUGUUUUAAAUCAUUCUUUAAAGUUGAGAACAAUUUGGUUAACAUUUAGUAUUUCCUUGUUGAAAGUAGCAUUGAAAGAACCUGAAAAACUAUUAAACUUCAUCUUGAUACCAUAAAUCAAUCAAGGGAUUGAGAUGGGAUGAAGUGGAUAGAUUUUUAUUCAUUUUUUACUUGUGUUUCUUUCACAAAGAAUUAGAAAGGUUCAUCGAUGUGUGUUCAAAACCACUAAAGCAUAUUUACAGAUGAAAGAUAUCGUUUAUUACAGGAUAUUUUUGCUGCUGGGACGGAUACAAUUUAUACUUCUUUGGAGUGGACAAUGGCAGAGCUUCUAAGGCACCCAAAAACGAUGGAGAAAUUGCAGAAUGAGGUGAGACAAAUAGCUGGAAGCAAACUAGAUAUAACGGAAGAUGAUUUAGAGAAACUUUCCUACUUAAAGGCAGUGAUGAAAGAGAGCCUAAGACUACAUCCUCCGCUUCCUUUGCUGCUCCCUCGAGAAUCUACCCAAGAUAGUUCAAUAUCAGGCUAUGAUAUUGCACGUGGAACCCGAGUAUUAAUCAAUUCUUGGGCAAUUGGAAGAGACCCAUUGGUGUGGGAAAAUCCUAAUGAUUUUCAGCCAGAAAGGUUUUUGAACACAGAAAUGGACUUUAGAGGGCUUAAUUUUGAGUACAUUCCAUUUGGUGCUGGUCGGAGAGGCUGUCCUGGCAUUACAUUUGCCAUAGCUGUUGACGAGCUUGCAUUAGCAAAAUUGAUACUUAAUUUUGACUUUGCCUUGCCAUUUGGAUUAACAGAAAAAGAUUUCGAUAUGAGUGAAGCCCCUGGAAACACUAUCACGAAAAAGUUUCCUCUAGUUGUGACCAUCAGUCCCCCUUCUUGAUAGUGCCUACUGAGAGUAUCAUCACCUCUACUCUUCAAAGUUCCCUCUUAAAAAGUAAAAUAUGUAGUUAUCAUGUUUGUAAUAAAAUCUCGA
rnacentral:lncRNA from 1 species